ACCCGCGUACAUGCCACCGGGGCAUCCCGGAGGCAGGAAAGGCUUCGGCCGGACAGGGAUGGGCAUGCGGCGCAUUAGGCAGUAGGCGGGGUAACGGCCCACCUAACCGACGAUGCGUAGGGGUUCUGAGAGGAAGGUCCCCCACACUGGUACUGAGACACGGACCAGACUCCUACGGGAGGCAGCAGUGAGGAAUAUUGGUCAAUGGUCGGGAGACUGAACCAGCCAAGCCGCGUGAGGGAUGAAGGUACAGAGUAUCGUAAACCUCUUUUGUCAGGGAACAAAGGCGGGGACGCGUCCCCGGAUGAGUGUACCUGAAGAAAAAGCAUCGGCUAACUCCGUGCCAGCAGCCGCGGUAAUACGGAGGAUGCGAGUGUUAUCCGGAUUUAUUGGGUUUAAAGGGUGCGCAGGCGGUCUGUUAAGUCAGCGGUCAAAGCCCGGGGCUCAACCCCGGCCCGCCGUUGAAACUGGCAGUCUCGAGUUGGAGAGAAGUAUGCGGAAUGCGCGGUGUAGCGGUGAAAUGCAUAGAUAUCGCGCAGAACUCCGAUUGCGAAGGCAGCAUGCCGGCUCCACACUGACGCUGAGGCACGAAAGCGUGGGUAUCGAACAGGAUUAGAUACCCUGGUAGUCCACGCAGUAAACGAA
rnacentral:rRNA from 1 species